GACUGAUUCAAAAGUACCUGACACACAGUCCGGAUAUGAAAAGGGUUACACCGUUUCAUUAGCAGCACAUUCAGGUGCAAACCUUGUAUAUGAAUCC
rnacentral:ncRNA from 1 species